GUCUGUCUGGUCAGUUGAGGAUCACUCAUCAGCUCAUAUCAGGACAAGAUCUUAAUCAUGGAUCAGUGGAAGGUUGCCGUUUGAUCAGGGUUUUGGAUAAAGAGAAAUGAAUCAGAUUGUCAAAAAUGGCAAUGGCUUCCUCUCUUCAUAAAGGUUUCAUCUUUGUUGUGCUGUAUAUCUUGACACAUAAUUUAGCUUCUAUUACAACCACACAAGAGACCAC